AUGAUAACUAGUGCAAGUGUGUGAAAGCAUUUUAUGUUCAAAAAUUGGAAGAACUUUCAAAAAAAGGAGAAUUUUAAACUUGAGGAAAACAUUAGUUAAAUUCAAAGUUUUUGGACUUAAACAUACAAGAUCAAGAUUUCAAAGCAUACAACAUUGUUCAUUCAAUAUUUCAAAGUUCAUCAUUCUAAAACAAAAAUCAAGAAUAUUCAAGCUCCAAAAUACAUUGAAGAAAAUCACAAAUGAAUAA